rnacentral:rRNA from 1 species
AGCGAACGCUGGCGGCAGGCCUAACACAUGCAAGUCGAACGAACUCUUCGGAGUUAGUGGCGGACGGGUGAGUAACACGUGGAAACGUGCCUUUAGGUUCGGAAUAACUCAGGGAAACUUGUGCUAAUACCGAAUGUGCCCUUCGGGGGAAAGAUUUAUCGCCUUUAGAGCGGCCCGCGUCUGAUUAGCUAGUUGGUGAGGUAAAGGCUCACCAAGGCGACGAUCAGUAGCUGGUCUGAGAGGAUGAUCAGCCACAUUGGGACUGAGACACGGCCCAAACUCCUACGGGAGGCAGCAGUGGGGAAUCUUGCGCAAUGGGCGAAAGCCUGACGCAGCCAUGCCGCGUGAAUGAUGAAGGUCUUAGGAUUGCAAAAUUCUUUCACCGGGGACGAUAAUGACGGUACCCGGAGAAGAAGCCCCGGCUAACUUCGUGCCAGCCGCCGCAGUAA